rnacentral:rRNA from 1 species
UUUAUGGAGAGUUUGAUCCUGGCUCAGAGUGAACGCUGGCGGCGUGCCUAAUACAUGCAAGUCGAACGAUGAAGCUUCUAGCUUGCUAGAAGUGGAUUAGUGGCGCACGGGUGAGUAACGCAUAGGUCAUGUGCCUCUUAGUUUGGGAUAGCCAUUGGAAACGAUGAUUAAUACCAGAUACUCCCUACGGGGGAAAGAUUUAUCGCUAAGAGAUCAGCCUAUGUCCUAUCAGCUUGUUGGUAAGGUAAUGGCUUACCAAGGCUAUGACGGGUAUCCGGCCUGAGAGGGUGAACGGACACACUGGAACUGAGACACGGUCCAGACUCCUACGGGAGGCAGCAGUAGGGAAUAUUGCUCAAUGGGGGAAACCCUGAAGCAGCAACGCCGCGUGGAGGAUGAAGGUUUUAGGAUUGUAAACUCCUUUUGUUAGAGAAGAUAAUGACGGUAUCUAACGAAUAAGCACCGGCUAACUCCGUGCCAGCAGCCGCGGUAAUACGGAGGGUGCAAGCGUUACUCGGAAUCACUGGGCGUAAAGAGCGCGUAGGCGGGAUAGUCAGUCAGGUGUGAAAUCCUAUGGCUUAACCAUAGAACUGCAUUUGAAACUACUAUUCUAGAGUGUGGGAGAGGUAGGUGGAAUUCUUGGUGUAGGGGUAAAAUCCGUAGAGAUCAAGAGGAAUACUCAUUGCGAAGGCGACCUGCUGGAACAUUACUGACGCUGAUUGCGCGAAAGCGUGGGGAGCAAACAGGAUUAGAUACCCUGGUAGUCCACGCCCUAAACGAUGGAUGCUAGUUGUUGGAGGGCUUAGUCUCUCCAGUAAUGCAGCUAACGCAUUAAGCAUCCCGCCUGGGGAGUACGGUCGCAAGAUUAAAACUCAAAGGAAUAGACGGGGACCCGCACAAGCGGUGGAGCAUGUGGUUUAAUUCGAAGAUACACGAAGAACCUUACCUAGGCUUGACAUUGAGAGAAUCCGCUAGAAAUAGUGGAGUGUCUGGCUUGCUAGACCUUGAAAACAGGUGCUGCACGGCUGUCGUCAGCUCGUGUCGUGAGAUGUUGGGUUAAGUCCCGCAACGAGCGCAACCCCCUUUCUUAGUUGCUAACAGGUCAUGCUGAGAACUCUAAGGAUACUGCCUCCGUAAGGAGGAGGAAGGUGGGGACGACGUCAAGUCAUCAUGGCCCUUACGCCUAGGGCUACACACGUGCUACAAUGGGGUGCACAAAGAGAAGCAAUACUGCGAAGUGGAGCCAAUCUUCAAAACACCUCUCAGUUCGGAUUGUAGGCUGCAACUCGCCUGCAUGAAGCUGGAAUCGCUAGUAAUCGCAAAUCAGCCAUGUUGCGGUGAAUACGUUCCCGGGUCUUGUACUCACCGCCCGUCACACCAUGGGAGUUGUGUUUGCCUUAAGUCAGGAUGCUAAAUUGGCUACUGCCCACGGCACACACAGCGACUGGGGUGAAGUCGUAACAAGGUAACCGUAGGUGAACCUGCGGUUGGAUCACCUCCUUUCUAGA